rnacentral:rRNA from 1 species
UACGGGGGGGCAAGCGUUGUUCGGAAUUACUGGGCGUAAAGGGUUCGUAGGUGGCUUGCUAAGUCACACGUGAAAUCCCUCAGCUUAACUGGGGAACUGCGUGUGAUACUGGCGAGCUUGAGUGCAGGAGAGGAACGCGGAAUUCCAGGUGUAGCGGUGAAAUGCGUAGAUAUCUGGAGGAACACCGGUGGCGAAGGCGGCGUUCUGGACUGCAACUGACACUGAAGAACGAAAGCCAGGGGAGCAAACGGG